rnacentral:rRNA from 1 species
GACGAACGCUGGCGGCGUGCUUAACACAUGCAAGUCGAACGGAGCGAAUGAAAGCUUGCUUUUAUAAGCUUAGUGGCAAACGGGUGAGUAACACGUAGGCAACCUGCCGACAGGAUGGGGACAACAUUCCGAAAGGAAUGCUAAUACCGAAUGAAGCGCAGGAGAGGCAUCUCUCCUGCGUGAAAGAUGGCCUCUAUAUAUAAGCUAUCACCUGUCGAUGGGCCUGCGUCUGAUUAGCUGGUAGGUGAGGUAACGGCUCACCUAGGCGACGAUCAGUAGCCGGUCUGAGAGGAUGAACGGCCACAUUGGGACUGAGACACGGCCCAGACUCCUACGGGAGGCAGCAGUGGGGAAUCUUCCGCAAUGGGCGCAAGCCUGACGGAGCAACGCCGCGUGAGUGAAGAAGGUCUUCGGAUCGUAAAGCUCUGUUGAUGGGGACGAACGUGCCUAAUGCGAAUAGUAUAAGGUAA